GAUGAACGCUGGCGGCGUGCUUAACACAUGCAAGUCGAACGAAGCACUUUAUUUGAUUUCCUUCGGGACUGAUUAUUUUGUGACUGAGUGGCGGACGGGUGAGUAACGCGUGGGUAACCUGCCUUGUACAGGGGGAUAACAGUUGGAAACGGCUGCUAAUACCGCAUAAGCGCACGGCAUCGCAUGAUGCAGUGUGAAAAACUCCGGUGGUAUAAGAUGGACCCGUGUUGGAUUAGCUAGUUGGUGAGGUAACGGCCCACCAAGGCGACGAUCCAUAGCCGACCUGAGAGGGUGACCGGCCACAUUGGGACUGAGACACGGCCCAAACUCCUACGGGAGGCAGCAGUGGGGAAUAUUGCACAAUGGGCGAAAGCCUGAUGCAGCGACGCCGCGUGAGCGAAGAAGUAUUUCGGUAUGUAAAGCUCUAUCAGCAGGGAAGAUAAUGACGGUACCUGACUAAGAAGCACCGGCUAAAUACGUG
rnacentral:rRNA from 1 species